rnacentral:misc_RNA from 1 species
AAGUCGUAACAAGGUUUCCGUAGGUGAACCUGCGGAAGGAUCAUUUCCAAAACUACCACAGAUGGUUACUACACAUUCACAGGCAGAGCAUGCGAGACGACGACGAGGCAGCACUUGGCUCUCUCUCUGUCCGCGUCUUUGCUCUUGUAAUGUGUGUACUAUUCUACACACACAAAAACACCCUUUGGUAUUCUACAGGGGCAUGCGGAUGCAUGCUUCAUUCUAACAAUCUAUGAUAUAACACACAUACAACUUUUAACAACGGAUCUCUUGGCUCUC